rnacentral:rRNA from 1 species
CGUAGGGUGCGAGCGUUGCCCGGAUUUAUUGGGCGUAAAGGGCGCGUAGGCGGCUCGGCACGUCCGUUGUGAAAUCGCCCGGCUCAACUGGGCGGGGUCAGCGGAUACGGUCGAGCUUGAGCAAGCUAGGGGGUAAUGGAAUUCCCGGUGUAGUGGUGGAACGCGUAGAUAUCGGGAGGAACACCAGUGGCGAAGGCGGUUACCUGGGGCUUUGCUGACGCUGAUGCGCGAAAGCGUGGGGAGCGAUCCGGAUUAGAUACCCGGGUAGUCCACGCCGUAAACGAUGCGGACUAGGUGUCGGGGGUAUCGACCCCCUCGGCGCCGCAGCUAACGCAUUAAGUCCGCCGCCUGGGGACUACGGCCGCAAGGCUA